GACGAACGCUGGCGGCGCGCUUAACACAUGCAAGUCGAGCGAUGAAAUCUUGACAGAUCCCUUCGGGGUGAAGAUAAGAUGGAUUAGCGGCGGACGGGUGAGUAACACGUGAGUAACCUGCCUUAGACAUUGGGAUAGCCUCGGGAAACCGGGAUUAAUACCAAAUGAAAUCAUAGGUGCCCAUGCACUAGUGAUCAAAACUCCGGUGGUCUAAGAUGGACUCGCGUCCCAUUAGCUAGUUGGUGAGGUAAUGGCCCACCAAGGCGACGAUGGGUAGCCGGCCUGAGAGGGUGAACGGCCACAUUGGAACUGAGAAACGGUCCAAACUCCUACGGGAGGCAGCAGUGGGGAAUAUUGCACAAUGGAGGGAACUCUGAUGCAGCGACGCCGCGUGAACGAUGAAGGCUUUCGAGUCGUAAAGUUCUUUUAUAUGGGAAGAUAAUGACGGUACCAUAAGAAAAAGCCCCGGCUAACUACGUG
rnacentral:rRNA from 1 species